UGAGGUAUGUGAUGAAAUGCAAGAGGUAUGUGAUGAAAUGCACAAGGUAUGUAAUGAAAUGCACGAGGUAUGUGAUGAAAUGCCCGAGGUAUGUGAGGAAAUGCACGAGGUAUGUGAUGAAAUGCAUGAGGUAUGUGAUGAAAUGCCUGAGGUAUGUGAUGAAAUGCAAGAGGUAUGUGAUGAAAUGCACAAGGUAUGUAAUGAAAUGCACGAGGUAUGUGAUGAAAUGCCCGAGGUAUGUGAUGAAAUGCAAGAGGUAUGUGAGGAAAUGCACGAGGUAUGUGAGGAAAUUCACGAGGUAUGUGAGGAAAUGCACAAGGUAUGUGAGGAAAUGCAUGAGGAAUGUGAGGGAAUGCCCGAGGUAUGUGAGGGAAUGCCCGAGGUAUGUGAUUUAAUGCCUGAGGUAUGUGAGGAAAUGCACGAGGUAUGUGAUGAAAUGCAUGAGGUAUGUGAUGAAAUGCCUGAGGUAUGUGAGGAAAUGCACGAGGUAUGUCUUGAAAUGCACGAGGUAUGUGAUGAAAUGCCUGAGGUAUGUGAGGAAAUGCACGAGGUAUGUGAUGAAAUGCCUGAGGUAUGUGAUGAAAUUCAUGAGGUAUGUGAGUAGCAGUGCGUUUAUGAGCGCAGUCAAUGCAGAUUGGGGAAGACGGUUUUAUAGUCCUAUCAGGGAUAUAGACUACUGAAUAUAGACUAUUCAUGGUUAGGGGAGAAGGGGUUAUAGUCCUAUCAGGGAUAAAGACUACUGAAUAUCGACUAUUCAUGGUUAGAGGAGAAGGAGUUAUAGUCCUAUCGGGGAUAUAGACUACUGAAUAUAGACUAUUCAUGGUUAGGGGAGAAGGGGUUAUAGUCCUAUCAGGGAUAUAGACUACUGAAUAUAGAUUAUUCACAUUGCAGUUAGAGCGGCUAUUGUAAGCUGAUCCUAGAUCUGUUCAUAAGGUCAUAUGUGGCUAUUGUGCGGUUUCCUCCCACAUGUUGUUGGAAGACAACCAAUGGUUAAGGUUAGUAUUUGGGGACAAUAAGCUGAUCCUAGAUCUGUUCAUAUGGUCAUAUUUUACAUGGAGCCAGCCCUUAGGCUACCACUUUGGAAAACCACUCCAUUCCGUGUGUUAGUGAGUGAUCCUUAUAGCCCAACUCAGCCACCAAGCCACCUACUGUUAUGUUCUGUUGUCAGCCUGCUUGGCUCCCUAACCCUUAUCAAAGCCAGGGACAACAAGGAAAGUACCAACACUCCACGUGUAAAUACACUACUCAUGUGAACAACUUCAACAUACUGCUAUGUAGCCUACACAGCAUCUCAAUAAUGUGUCUGUCAGACAUUCCCUGCUUCCAUUAAAACUAGAGCAGAGAUAAUCUAGUGCUCCUGUCUCAUUAUCCCGAGUUAGAACAGUGAAUGGGAGAGAUCGAGGUGAGUUGGUGAAGUUCUAGACACUCAUCAUUGAAGCGAAUCAACUGGGAAAUCAGUUUGGAUGUCAGGCUACUGAAGUUCUGCCUACACACUGUACCCCAGGAAGACAUGAGGGAACAGUAUAAACGUCAGUCUGCCAGACCCUGCCUUCAAAUCAACUAGAUCUAUAGUGCAAAGAUAGGAUAAUGAUAUUGAAGCACUUGACUAACUUAGCCCAUUGAAUAGAAGUGAUCUGGGUGAGUCUCUGAAGCUCUCUUUGAGCAGCUUUCCUUCACCAAUUGUUUGUCUGACUGGGUCAAAGAGUGCUGGUUUCCUCUUCACGGGUCAAAACCCUGGAGAAUAACAUAGAAUCCUGUGUAUUAAAGCAGCAGCACUAUACAGGCCAAUGGUAGACCACUCAGUCACUGAUACAGAAAUAAAUAUGUUUUGAUCUGCCUACCUAUUUAUCCCAUAUACUGCCUUCCCCCAUUGUACCCUUGAGCACGGCACUUUGCUCCAGGGGGCGUUGCUCGGCAGUGUGUCAGGUUGGGUACUAUGACAGCAAUAAAUAAAGCAUAUCCAUGCAAAUGGACCAACAAAGCAAAUAUUGUGUUGUACCUCAGAUUGAGCAGGUUGUCUCCCCUGACACAUUUAUACAGAUCUAAAUACCCAGAACUCCCGGGGUUAAAGCACUGGGCCUUGAGGCUCAAUGCAAGCUAUUAAGAAGUGUGAAGGAGGGAUAUCCCCUUGGCAGCGAAUCUGGCAACCCCACCCACAGCUCCUCUCCCACCGGGAACUCUGCCUACACAUAGUGUAUUAGCUAGGCUAUAUCAUAAUCACGUCUUAUCCCUGUGUUGGCUGACGGAACUGUGACUACUUUAAUGUGUGGUUUAAGCUACACCUCUUUGAACCGAAGAAAGAGACACAUGUUCACAUCCAGCGACGCGAAUGAGCUUUUGGCAGAGGCUGUAGGUGGGCACGAAUAGCAUGAUACAUCGCCAUAGUCGCUUUGGCUUGAGAAAUACUUGACAUAACACAGCCACGUGUGUCAAGCAAAACUGUCUUAACCUUUCGCUCCAUAUAACCUAAAAUGUGAACCUAAAUGAUUACCAAAAAAAAGGUCAAUGGCAAUAUCGCACCAUCUUACCAAUUACAUUUAAACAGCGUCUUGACAUUUGUUUCCCGAGAAAUACCUUACGGAGCUACUGUAUUGCCUUGUCUAGGCUACUGAAUGACCCAUUUCUGUGACAAAUGAUGAAGUCUAGCUUGCGAAUGUCACAAUUGGAGAACAUCUCUCUUACUCUUUCAAUGCUGACCUCUUAAUACAAAACACCGAGUUUUUUCAAAACAAAUUACACAGUUGAACUUUUUUUACAGCGUUUCUACAAACAAACUUUAAAAUCUCUCUGAACGUUUCUGUGUUGUUUUUGUCGGGAUGUUGCCUGUUUGUAGAAUGAGCGCCCCAGCGCUGUCCAGGGUUCUGAAACCGACCACACGUAACGCGCGCUCAUUAGAACAGGAAACAUAGUCGGUAAGCGGCUUUAUCACUGAGUUAAAACGGGACGUUUCCCGGAGCUAAAUAUUUACUCUGUCUUAAAAACAAUAUCAUGUGAAUUGAUACCGACGUAAAAGUGAAUUUAUGUUGACCAAACUACAGAAUACUGCAUUGGAAGUGAUUAAGAUAGAUUUUACAAACCUAUAUUUACAACCACAUUGUUUAAUAUUUUCAUCCGAAACUCGGCUCGGUCGUCAGACAUAAACACUUAUUUUAAUUAAUUGAAUAACAUAGCAUUUAUCUAAACUGAAUUAAAUCGUUCAGCAACCUACCUGAAGUUGUUUUUAGAGGACCGUUAUCGGCUCAGGACUGGAAAAUAUCAGCUUUUAGUUCCUACUGUCGCCUCGUUUCAAACGGACUGCCCUCUGAGGAAUCUCACAGCCACGCCCCGCCCAUUAAUGCUAUAUGGGAUCCUUGGGACGUCACUACCCUAAACUCUAAUUCUGACUAUAACCCCUACCAUAAGCCUAACCACAACCCUUACAUAACCCCAACCUUAACCCAUACCUGUACAAUUUUAAAUGUCAACUUCAAUGGGGUGGCGUUAGAGUUGGGACAUCCCAAGGAUCCAAUUUUAGACACGAGAUGUAUUUCCGUCGAAUACCCGGAGGCAAAUGCCACGUUCAGAACAACUGAGAACUCGGAAACGUCAGAUUUCCGACUUCUGCGUGUUCAAGACAACUGAGUCCUCGGGGGAAAAAACUAUCCUUGACUGAGAAAACUAGUUUUGAACGGUCAUCCAACUCGGAAUUCCAACUCGCGAUCUCGGGUCUCUUUCUAGAUCUCCAACUUUCCGACCUGAAUAUCCCUGAAGUCAUGACUUGACCUCAUAUUUUUCAGAAUUCCAAGUUGUCUUGAACACACCAUAUGUGAUUAAUUUCAAUUUGGGUGAUUGGCUGAGGGAUGUUGGGUGCGUGACGUCCCUCUUAGCCCUUACCAAAACACAAAAGGUGGCGGUCAAUUUCUCUCGCCUCGAGCUGGUCGUCAGUAGAUACCACAACCAGAAAGUCAUAAACCAGGCUUUUUUUUUAUUUUUUUUACAAUUUCUCUUCUUAAAAUGUGAUUUUUCAACCUAACCCCAACCUUAACCACACUGCUAACCUUAUGCAUAACAUUAAAUAAAUACAUUAAAAAAACUCUUUUUUUUUCUUCAAGAAUCUUGAUAUAGUCCAUUUUGUGGUAACUAGUGGAAACCGUCGGAUCUGAGAUCAGUAGCUUCAAUCAAUCAACUUUAUUUAUAAAGCCCUUCUUACAUCAGCUGAUGUCACAAAGUGCUGUACAGAAACCAAGCCUAAGAUCCAAACAGCAAGCAAUGCAGGUGUAGAAGCACGGUGGCUAGGAAAAAGUGCCUAGAACUUAGGAAGAAACCUAUUGAGGAACCAGGCUACGAGGGGUGGCCAGUCCUCUUCUGGAGAUUAUAACAGAACAUGGCCAAGAUGUUCAAAUGUUCAUAGAUGACCAGCCGGUUCAUAUAAUAAUAAUAAUCACAUUGGUUGUAGAGGGUGCAACAGGUCAGCACGUCAGGAGUAGAUGUCAGUUGGCUUUUCAUAGCCGAUCAUUCAGAGUAUCUCUUUCGCUCCUGCUGUCUCUAGAGAGUUGAAAACAGCAGGUCUGGGACAAGGUAGCACGUCCGGUGAACAGGUUAGGGUUCCAUAGCCGCAGGCAGAACAGUUAAAACUGGAGCAGCAGCACGACCAGGUGGACUGGGGACAGCAAGGAGUCAUCAGGCCAGGUAGAGAGAGAGAGAGCAUACUUAAAUUCACACAGGACACUGGAUAAGACAGGAUAAAUACUCCAGAUAUAACAGACUGAACCUAGUCCCCCGCCACCUGAACUAUUGCAGCAUAAAUACUGGAGGCUGAGACAGGAGGGGCUGGGAGACACUGUGGCCCCAUCUGACGAUACCCCCGGACAGGGCCAAACAGGCAGGAUAUAACCCCACCCACUUUGCCAGGGCGCCAACCCGGACAGGAAG
rnacentral:lncRNA from 13 species